GCCGUUUAAAACAAAAGUUGCUCAUAAAACUAAAAGUUGCCAAAAAGUUGCCGAGCAACUUGUGGAAACCCCUACUCGAGUCCUGGCUCGAGUCCUGGCUGGAAUCCUGACUCGAGCAAUAGUAUAUCAGACUCUCAAUGUUAACAGCGAUGUCGCAGCGGUUUUACAAGCGAGGAAAAAUUUUAACUGUAAAUAUUUAAUGCACAAUAUAUUAAAACUAGUUUCAUUUUGAUGUUUUUGUACAAUUCAAGUACCUAAUGUUCAGCAAAUCACCAAACGAUAAUGUACCGAUCAAUUCGAAACUUCAUUAUCCCCCUCCCGGGCAUACCCCGGGAGUUUGACUUCAAAUCUUCUCCAGGGAGUAAGGAAUUUGACGUUCUAGGUCUUCCAAGUGGUGGGGCAUUUGAUAACGGGGUGGGGAAUUUGAACCGGAAGUCUUAAAAUUUUGCCCGUUUUCACGUGCUUUCUGCAUGCACAGAAAAUACUUCGCAUUGUUCCUGACUGUGAGGACAAGGUUCUUGACAGUGAGGACAAGAUUCCUGACAGUGAGGACAAGGUUCCUG